CAGUCGCCGCGGUAAAACGUAGGUGGCAAGCGUUGUCCGGAAUUAUUGGGCGUAAAGGGCUCGCAGGUGGUUUCUUAAGUCUGAUGUGAAAGCCCCCGGCUCAACCGGGGAGGGUCAUUGGAAACUGGGAAACUUGAGUGCAGAAGAGGAGAGUGGAAUUCCACGUGUAGCGGUGAAAUGCGUAGAGGUGUGGAGGAACACCAGUGGCGAAGGCGACUCUCUGGUCUGUAACUGACGCUGAGGAGCGAAAGCGUGGGGAGCGAACGGGAUUAGAUACCCCCGUAGUCCCUGUCUCUUAUAC
rnacentral:rRNA from 1 species